ACUCCUACGGGAGGCAGCAGUGGGGAAUAUUGCACAAUGGGGGAAACCCUGAUGCAGCCAUGCCGCGUGUGUGAAGAAGGCCUUCGGGUUGUAAAGCACUUUCAGCGAGGAGGAAAGGGUGUAAGUUAAUACCUUACAUCUGUGACGUUACUCGCAGAAGAAGCACCGGCUAACUCCGUGCCAGCAGCCGCGGUAAUACGGAGGGUGCGAGCGUUAAUCGGAAUUACUGGGCGUAAAGCGUGCGCAGGCGGUUUGUUAAGCGAGAUGUGAAAGCCCCGGGCUCAACCUGGGAACCGCAUUUCGAACUGGCAAACUAGAGUCUUGUAGAGGGGGGUAGAAUUCCAGGUGUAGCGGUGAAAUGCGUAGAGAUCUGGAGGAAUACCGGUGGCGAAGGCGGCCCCCUGGACAAAGACUGACGCUCAGGCACGAAAGCGUGGGGAGCAAACAGGAUUAGAUACCCUGGUAGGCUCU
rnacentral:rRNA from 1 species